AUACGUAGGGGGCGAGCGUUGUCCGGAAUGAUUGGGCGUAAAGGGCGCGUAGGCGGCCCGGUAAGUCUGGAGUGAAAGUCCUGUUUUUAAGAUGGGAAUUGCUUUGGAUACUGUCGGGCUUGAGUGCAGGAGAGGUAAGUGGAAUUCCCAGUGUAGCGGGGAAAUGCGUAGAGAUUGGGAGGAACACCAGUGGCGAAGGCGACUUACUGGACUGUAACUGACGCUGAGGCGCGAAAGUGUGGGGAGCAAACAGGAUUAGAUACCCUGGUAGUCCACACUGUAAACGAUGAAUGCUAGGUGUAGGGGGUAUCGACCCCUUCUGUGCCGCAGUCAACACAAUAAGCAUUCCGCCUGGGGAGUACGGCCGCAAGGUUGAAACUCAAAUGAAUUGGCGGGG
rnacentral:rRNA from 1 species